AGUAUGAAGCUGCAAGAGCUAGGUUAAUAAAAGAAUUAAAUAGAGGUGUUUCUUUAGAGAAGCUUUGAGUGAAAUUGAUAAAACCACCAGAAGCACAUGAGUUAGAUGAAAGUAAAUCUCCUGCAUCUCGAAUGUCUUCUGAUAAAAUUCCAGAGGACCUUGUACAAGUGCAGACUUAUAUCAGGUAGGAUUUGAGGAAGCAAUGGAAGAACUACAUGCUAAGGUGUACAAGGGACUCUCUAUUGAUCAGAUGAGGCAACAAUGCAAUAUAAGAAUCUUACCUGAUAGGAACUAUCUUGAUUAUACCUAAUAUGGUAUUGGAUCAGCUUGCAGUGCUCCAAUAGAGAUUUAGAUGCGGUGCAGUUGCUUUUGUUUGGUGCCCUUGAGCAUAUGAGGCAUUGAUUGUUUCAGCAAUUGAUGCUUGAUCACAAUGAUCACUCCCUUGUUGGGUACCAGAAGAACACCUACAGGUAUUCAACCACGGAUGGUGAGUUUCAUCCAUUAUAUAUCCACGUGCUAAAAUGACUGACUUGCUCCGCUGCUCGGGUAUAAAAAUGACGAUGCCUAUGAUUCUCUGAAGGGAAGCCAUACCAGGUUCUUGCGUUCCUGUCAUAUCCCACUGAAACAGGUUUGAAGAGAAGCGCUCGACGUGGCGCAGGUCUGUCAGAUUCUAUGGUGUAGUUCAAGAUUUUUCUUUAGUUCAAUGUUUGUGGAGAUGGAUAUUAUGCUCCAGGAUCCUACAACAUGACAUCACAUCAAUUGUAAAGGAGGUCUUUGAUAUCAUGGAUACAAGAAUAUCACUUAACAAACUGUGUCAACUCUUGAAACAACACAAUGUGCUUGCAAUCUAGCCAAUUCAAAAAGAAGCUAUCGAAGAACUAUUGCAAGGCAGUACUGAGUUGGAGCAUUUGAGAAAUAGAGCUACCAAAAAUUCAUAUGGGCACUAAAUCCCCUUUCCAUCCCUCAGUAUAUCAUGUCACCCCACAUCGCCUUCCACCCUUCCUGCUCUCCUUUUCCUUCUCUCCUUCGGUUGCUGACAUACCGCUAACAAGAGUAUAACGUGGCAAGUUCAAAAUUGUGGUCAGGGUUUAAAGUUCAGACAUUCAUUUGCUACAUGUUUUGAUUCAUCUCAGGACCUCGAUUAGAAGUUUAUUCAUGAAGCAUCAAGCAAGUUCUAA